rnacentral:rRNA from 1 species
AGUGAACGCUGGCGGUAGGCCUAACACAUGCAAGUCGAACGGCAGCACAGUAAGAGCUUGCUCUUACGGGUGGCGAGUGGCGGACGGGUGAGGAAUACAUCGGAAUCUACUUUUUCGUGGGGGAUAACGUAGGGAAACUUACGCUAAUACCGCAUACGACCUACGGGUGAAAGCAGGGGAUCCUCGGACCUUGCGCGAUUGAAUGAGCCGAUGUCGGAUUAGCUAGUUGGCGGGGUAAAGGCCCACCAAGGCGACGAUCCGUAGCUGGUCUGAGAGGAUGAUCAGCCACACUGGAACUGAGACACGGUCCAGACUCCUACGGGAGGCAGCAGUGGGGAAUAUUGGACAAUGGGCGCAAGCCUGAUCCAGCCAUACCGCGUGGGUGAAGAAGGCCUUCGGGUUGUAAAGCCCUUUUGUUGGGAAAGAAAAGCAGCAGGUUAAUACCCCGCUGUUCUGACGGUACCCAAAGAAUAAGCACCGGCUAGCUUCGUG